rnacentral:rRNA from 1 species
UACGUAGGUGGCAAGCGUUAUCCGGAUUUACUGGGUGUAAAGGGCGUGUAGGCGGGGACGCAGGUCAGAUGUGAAAACCACGGGCUCAACCUGUGGCCUGCAUUUGAAACUGUGUUUCUUGAGUACUGGAGAGGCAGACGGAAUUCCUAGUGUAGCGGUGAAAUGCGUAGAUAUUAGGAGGAACACCGGUGGCGAAAGCGGCUCUCUGGCCUGUAACUGACACUGAGGCUCGAAAGCGUGGGGAGCAAACAGG